rnacentral:rRNA from 1 species
UGCGAACGCUGGCGGCAGGCCUAACACAUGCAAGUCGAACGGAUCCUUCGGGAUUAGUGGCGGACGGGUGAGUAACACGUGGGAACGUGCCCUUUGGUUCGGAACAACUCAGGGAAACUUGAGCUAAUACCGGAUGUGCCCUUCGGGGGAAAGAUUUAUCGCCAUUGGAGCGGCCCGCGUCUGAUUAGCUAGUUGGUGAGGUAACGGCCCACCAAGGCGACGAUCAGUAGCUGGUCUGAGAGGAUGAUCAGCCACACUGGGACUGAGACACGGCCCAGACUCCUACGGGAGGCAGCAGUGGUGAAUCUUGCGCAAUGGGCGAAAGCCUGACGCAGCCAUGCCGCGUGAAUGAUGAAGGUCUUAGGAUUGUAAAAUUCUUUCAGCGGUGACGAUAAUGACGGUACCCGCAGAAGAAGCUCCGGCUAACUUCGUG